GUUCCUCUAUGGAACCUUGGGUCAUUGGUUUGGACUACUUCUGCACUAUUGUCGCAAUAUAGCCUCGAUUGGCAGGCUAGUAUGAUCCAUAACCUCUGAUGAGAUCAAACUAAAAGGCUUCCUUUGCCACCUUACGAAACAUAGCCUUACUCUCGCUCCAUUCUCAAUCAACUGAUCGCAUCACUUUCUCUCACUCCAUGUGAAAAAAUUUCAAUUUGAGAGUUUCGUUUCCAUUUUCAAUCCAGAGUUUCGAUUGUAAUUCAAAGAGAAAUCCAAACUAAACUGUUGAGUUCAUUAAUCAGUUUAUCCACUUGCAGUUGCACAAUUGCAUUGCAGAUGAAAGUGAGGAGCAGAUUUCUGCUACAAAAAAACGUACAUACAUUCUUUUGCAUGUUCCAGUGAAUAAUUGAGCUGUUCUAAAACUGAAUGAAGCAAGGAAGCUCGAAUCAACUGAACAUUACAAUGAUGAUUUUGGGAAAGAGUAGAAGUAACGUUAUUUGUUUAUAGAGCCAUGGAUAUUUGGGCAGUGCGUAUCCUUUACUCCGCUCCUACCUACAUAAGCUCGACCUUUUAGAACUCUGCACACUUUAAAACAGUCUUGUUCAUUUGUUCAUUUAUGACUUGUAUUACCUGAGCUUGAAAAGAUGGCCAGCUGCAUUGAAGGCAAAAUGUUUGCUAUGUGGAUGUGAGAUUCUUUCUUUUUAAGAAAAUUUUAUCCUUAUUUAGAUGCUGGUCUGUUUUAGUUAAUAUUGGAGGUUCAACUCCAAUGUAGUCAUCUAUGCAGAGUAUUUGGAGCUUCCAUGGAACGCUGGUCAUUCCAUUGUUCUCAGUAGCGCAUCUGGGAAUCCAAAAUAGCAUUUGAUGGAGAAGUUUGUGAGACUGUGUUGUAUGGGUCCUCUCUGUUUCUGCUUCUUGGGCUUGUUCCAUUGGCUUUUGCUGGGCAUGACUAUGGCCAAGAUCUUAGCAAGAGCGAUUCUCUUCUUUGAAGCUCAGAGAUCUGGUUACCUUCCCAGUAGCCAGAGAGUCCAAUGGAGAGGUCAUUCUGGUCUCAAUGACGGCAAGACUAGUGAGGUUGUACGUAGAGAAGGAUGACACUUGGAGGAUAACAAGGCUGAUACAUCGAGUCUUUUCUCUUCUCUUUUUAGGAUUUGAGACAUUAAAAAAUCUUUUAUUUCCCCAGAGACAUGGUUACACUCAUAAAUGCAUUGUAAUUAUUAUUAUUAUUAUUAUUUUUAUUGUUGUCGUUGUUGUU